CUGUUGACCAGGUAUGCUGACAUGAAAAUGCUAGUGCAUUAAGGCUACCAAAUAGGACAGGCUGAGGCAGGCACACACACACACAAAAAAAAGGCCAGGAGGAGCCAAGGCCAGCAGUGAUAGGGCUGGGGGCGGGGUGCAGACUUUGGGUUGGGGAAUUACAGAAUGAGCAUCCCAAAGGCGGCCACCCCUCCCACUUUCAGUCUCCAUCCCUGCUCCACCCAAGACCCCAAGGGACUCAAAGAGGCGAAGAGGUGCAGGCAGCCAGGCGGGGUUGGGGUGCACCCGGUGCUCAGACGCAGGCGGCCCUACCCCUGGGCCCAUACCGCUCCCGCUUCGGCGGAACUUGCUGCAGCUCGAGUCUGGACACCUGGACCGUGCACUCACGGAGGUAGCCCCGACAGUGGGUGGGGUAACAGGAUUCUGGAUUCCUGGAGCUGGGGCUGGGGGCUAGAACUCCUGGUUCUCCGAAUGAAGACAGAGCUGAGGGCUCGGACCCCGAGUCCUGACAGAGGGUGAGGGGCCUGGAGUCCUGCCUUCUGGGAAAGGAGACUGGGGGUGGGAAGUUAGAUCUGGAGGGAAAAGGGGCAGUGGCUCUGAGCUCCUGGUUCAGGGCGGAGUCUCGCUGCCACCCCCCCCACCCCACCCCACCCCCCCCGACUCCCGGGUCCCAAGGGAGGGGGAGCCUGGGGCGGGUAGUCUGGUCCCAGGGGACGGGGAGCAGAGAGGUCUGUUCUGGCUCAAGGCUGGGGAGGUGCUGAGGGCCCAGAUACCUAGUUCUGAGGGUGCAGGGGGCUGGGGACCUGGACUUCUAGAUUUUGAGGGAAGGCGGUGGGGCUGGACUCCUGGGUCUGGAGGAGAAGGGAGCUGGGGUCCGGGCUCUGGGGUCUCGAUGGCGGAGGGGUCAGGAGCCCAGACCCGGGCCCGCUGAGCACCGGCUCCGUGUAGCUCCCUGGACGCUGGGGUCCGGUGUUCACCGUGUGACUGGGCCCGCGCCCUGCAGUGGUGCCGUGCAGCUACGCAGCGCAGCGGGACGCAUUAGUGCUGCAAGCGGAUGCCUUCUCCGGCCGCGGGGCCAGGGCAGCCUUCGAACGCUUCACACGCGGAAACGGCAUCGUGGCUUCUAACGGGCAGCGCUGGCGGACGCUGCGCAAUUUUGCACUUGGAGCACUUAAGGAGUUCGGCUUGGGUACGCGGACCAUCGAGGACCGUGUCCUGGAAGAGGCGCUUUGUCUGCUUGGCGAAUUUCAAGACAGCGUUGAACCGCUAUGGCUACGAGGACCCAGAGUUCCUGAGGCUCCUGGACCUCUUCAGUGACAACUUCUGCAUCAUGAGUUCCAGAUAGGGUGAGAAGAACCCGGAGAGCCAUUUCCAGGAGACACUGGUGAUGACGACGCAUAACCACUUCCUUGGCAGUACCGAGACCACAAGCACCAGCCUGCGCUACGGACUCCUCAUUCUGCUCAAAUACCCAGAGGUGGUAGGCUUCUGAGCUGGACAGCUAGGGAUGAGGCGGCUAGGGUUGUGGGUUGGCUGGAGGCUGGGGCAGUUCACAUGGCCGGCCCCAGCCAAAGCGCAGGAGUUGGAUCCCGUGGUAGGUCGAAUGUGCGCCCCAAGCCUGGAGGACUAAGAACGCCUGCCCUACACCGACGCCACGCUGCAGGAGAUCCAAAGCGUCUUCAGCGUGCUACCGCUGGAGCUGCCGCGUGCCCUCACCUGUGAGGCCCACCUGUGCAGUCACUUCCUGCCCAAGGUGGCCACCAAGACUGGGGAUCCUGCGCAGGGGCUGGGGAGGGCCUGUUAACAGAGAUCAGCAGGCCUAAGCGUCCAGAGCACUGACUCUGGGAGCAAGAAAGUAGGCGGCCUUCCUUGCCGCUGACUUCGAAAUGGGGUCUUGGAUGGAUGUGUGGAAUAGUCACUUGCAUAUUUUUCAAGUAACCCUUGCACAUCUCCCCAGGGCACCUUCAUGAUUCCUCUCCUUGUGUCUGCACACCAGGAUCUCACCCAAUUUAAGGACCCAGACUGUUUCAAUCCCACCAACUUCCUGAAUGACAAGGGAAAGCAAUAUGCCUGGGUGCAGGCCUGGCCCGAUCCGAGGUCUUCCUCACCUCCAUUCUACAGCAGUUCUGCCUGCUCCCUGUGGGGAGCCCCGCCAACAUCGACCUCACCCCACAGUGCACUGGCCUGGGCAACGUGCCCCCAGCCUUCCAACUCUGUCUGGUGGCCCGCUGAAGUCAGGUUCAGCCACCCUCUGCUCACUGGCUCUCAGACCUCCUUACCCUCUUUGGUCAAUAAAGGCCCUGAAUUGCA